rnacentral:rRNA from 1 species
ACUGCUCAGUAACACGUGGACAAUCUGCCCUGAAGUGGAGAAUAAUCCCGGGAAACUGGGGGUAAUACUCCAUAGUUCGUUAUUACUGGAAUGUUUUUCGAACGAAAGAUCCGUCGCUUCAGGAUGAGUCUGCGGCCGAUUAGGUAGUUGUUGGGGUAAUUGCCCAACAAGCCUGUAAUCGGUACGGGUUGUGGGAGCAAGAGCCCGGAGAUGGAUUCUGAGACACGAAUCCAGGCCCUACGGGGCGCAGCAGGCGCGAAAACUUUACCAUGCGGGCAACCGUGAUAAGGAAACCCCGAGUGCCAGCACAGGCUGGCUGUCCGCCAGUUUAAACAACUGGCGAAGAAAGGGCCGGGCAAGACCGGUGCCAGCCGCCGCGGUAAUACCGGCGGCUCGAGUGGUGGCCGCUAUUACUGGGCUUAAAGGGUCUGUAGCUUGAUAAUAGGGUCCCUUGAGAAAUCCGCCGGCUUAACUGGCGGGCGUUCAGGGGAAACUUGUUUUCUGGGGACCGGGAGAGGUGAGGGGUACUGCCGGGGUAGGAGUGAAAUCCUGUAAUCCCGGUGGGACCACCUAUGGCGAAGGCAUCUCACCAGAACGGGUCCGACAGUGAGGGACGAAAGCUGGGGGAGCAAACCGGAUUAGAUACCCGGGUAGUCCCAGCUGUAAACUAUGUGCGUUAGGUGUGUCAGUGACCACGUGUCACUGAGGUGCCGAAGGGAAACCGUGAAACGCACCGCCUGGGGAGUACGGUCGCAAGGCUGAAACUUAAAGGAAUUGGCGGGGGAGCAC